rnacentral:rRNA from 1 species
UACGUAGGGUGCGAGCGUUAUUCGGAAUUACUGGGCGUAAAGCGUGCGCAGGCGGUCUGUUAAGUCCGAUGUGAAAUCCCCGGGCUUAACCUGGGAACUGCAUUGGAGACUGGCAGGCUUUGAGUGUGGCAGAGGGAGGUAGAAUUCCACGUGUAGCAGUGAAAUGCGUAGAGAUGUGGAGGAAUACCGAUGGCGAAGGCAGCCUCCUGGGCCAACACUGACGCUCAUGCACGAAAGCGUGGGGAGCAAACAGG